rnacentral:rRNA from 1 species
CGCGUAGGCGGAAAUGUAAGUCAGAUGUGAAAUCCCGGGGCUCACCCCCGGAACUGCAUAUGAAACUACAUUCCUUGAGGGUAGGCGGAGAAAAUGGAAUUCCACAAGUAGCAGUGAAAUGCGUAGAUAUGUGGAAGAACACCAGUGGCGGAGGCGGUUUUCUAGCUUAUACCUGACGCUGAGGCGCGAGAGCAAGGGGAUCAAACA